rnacentral:tRNA from 1 species
GCGCCCGUAGCUCAAUUGGACAGAGCUUCUGACUUCGGAUCAGAAGGUUGCAGUUUCGAGUCCUGCCGGGCGCG